rnacentral:rRNA from 1 species
AGAGUUUGAUCCUGGCUCAGAUUGAACGCUGAGGCUUAACACAUGCAAGUCGAAGGGUUUCUAUUUGUAGCAAUACAGGUAGUAACUAGUGGCAAACGAGCGAGUAACGCGUACUUAACUUGCCCAGAAGUUGAGGCCAACUACAGAGAUGUAGCUAAUCCUCAAUAGUAUCUAAGUGACGAAAUUAGCUUAGAUUAAAGAUUUAUCGCUUCUGGAGAGGGGUGCGUCCUAUCAGGUAGUUGGUGAGGUAAUGGCUCACCAAGCCUAUGACGGGUAGCCGGUCUGAGAUGAUGUCCGGCCGCGAUGGGACUGAGAUACGGCCCAUACUCCUACGGGAGGCAGCAGUGGGGAAUCUUGCACAAUGGGCGAAAGCCUGAUGCAGCGAUUCCGCGUGGAGGAUGACGCAUUACGGUGUGUAAACUCCUUUUCUGGUGGAAGACGAAUGACGGUACACCAGGAAUAAGGGACGGCUAACUACGUGCCAGCAGCCGCGGUAAUACGUAGGUCCCAAGCGUUAUCCGGAUUUACUGGGCGUAAAGAGUCCGUAGCCUGAUAUAUAAGUCUGUUUUCAAAUACCUGGACUCAAUCGAGGGAAGGGAAUAGAUACUGUAUAUCUAGAGAUAUUUGGGGGUUAGUGGAAUUUCCGGUGGAGCGGUGAAAUGCGUUGAUAUCGGAAAGAACGCCGAAAGCGAAAGCAGCUAACUACAAUACAUCUGACGGUGAGGGACGAAAGCUUGGGGGAGCAAACGGGAUUAGAUACCCCGGUAGUCCAAGCCUUAAAUUAUGCUUGCUAGGUGUUAGAUCCUUCGGGAUUUGAGUGCCGUAAUCUAACGAGUUAAGCAAGCCGCCUGAGUAGUAUAUUCGCAAGAAUGAAACUCAAAGGAAUUGACGGGGGAACACACAAGCAGUGGAUUGUCUAGAUUAAUUGGAUACAAAGCCAAGAA